rnacentral:lncRNA from 1 species
GGAUUACGGCUACAACGCCGGCGCCCUCGCCCUGCCCGUGCCCCUCGCCAACGUCCACGUCCUGCUGCCCCUGGACGAGCCCGUCACCAACGUGCGGCUGCAGCCGGCUGCCAGCUGGAACCUGGAGGAGAAGAGGCUGCUCUGGAAGCUGCUGGACGUCCCCGGUGCGCCGGGGCAGGGAGGCAGCGGCCGGCUCUCGGCCAGCUGGGAGCCCCUGUGCGGGCCCAGUAAGCCCAGUCCCGUGGCAGCCCAGUUCAGCAGCGAGGGCAGCACCCUGUCGGGCGUCGAGGUGGAGCUGGCGAGCGCCGGUUACCGCAUGUCGCUGGUCAAGAAGAGGUUUGCUACGGGUAUGGCCACCUGGGCCCCAUAAGCACGGGUUCCUUGCCUUGUCUUGCAUGUAGGGGGGGGUCCCUUCCCCGCCCCAUAGGGUGCACGGGGUCCCUUCCCUGUCCCCUAUAGCCCCGAGGUGCAUGGGGUCAUUUCCUCAUCCCCUAUAGUCCUGGGGCGCACGGGGUCCCUUCCUUGUACCCUAUUGUCCUAGGGUGCACGGGGUCCCUUCCUUGUCCCCUAUAGUCCUGGGGUGCAUGGGGUCAUUUCCCCAUCCCCUAUAGUCCUGGGGUGCACGGGGUCCCUUCCCUGUCCCCUACAGCCCCGGGGUGCACAGGGUCCUUUCUCCAUUCCCUAUGGUCCUGGGGGGCAUGGGGUCUCUUUCCCAUCCCCUAC